rnacentral:misc_RNA from 1 species
UCGCUUGGCCAGAAGUAUUCCAUGCAUCCCAUAAACUAGGGCCCAGCAUAUCCAUAACCAUUAUGUAGUAGUCUCCCUGCCGCCCUUUAUAGUGUACCCUAGGUACCCCAUAAGUACUACCAAGAGCACUGUAAACUUGCCAUUCAUAUGGAGGACCAGAGUUGCAGCCUUUGCUGCUCCUAUGCUCAAAUUUUAUAGCUACCUCCAGAGAGCCCGUUAUGCGAUCGUUGCCACCAGCCGCGCGACGACCAACAAAAACUUGACCAAACCCACCUUUGCCCAACUUCCUCUCAACUCUGUACAGAGGAGAUCCUCCUACCUGAACCUUCUCAGGGAAAGGAAGUGUGUUCCCUUCCUCUUCAUCACCAGCCGCAUUGUUAGCACUCACACCACCGCUGUCGUCCAUCUCCUGGGCCGCAGACUCCGACCUCUCCGCUGCAACAAUCGGUUCCUCCCUAACCUGUUCCUCAACUUCCAGUUCCUUGUCCUCCUCAACAACAACCGGCUUCUCCGCCGACCUCUCCCGCGCCG